rnacentral:rRNA from 1 species
UACAGAGAGUGCGAACGUUGCUCGGAAUUACUGGGCGUAAAGCGCAUGUAGGCGGAUCGAUAAGUCGGGCGUGAAAUCCCCAGGCUCAACCUGGGAACUGCGCUCGAAACUGUAGGUCUUGAGUGUCGAAGAGGAUGGCGGAAUUCCUGAUGUAGAGGUGAAAUUCGUAGAUAUCGAGAGGAACACCGGUGGCGAAGGCGGCCUUCUGGACAGACACUGACGCUGAUACGCGAAAGCGCGGGGAUCAAACAGG